AGAGUUUGAUCAUGGCUCAGGAUGAACGCUAGCUACAGGCUUAACACAUGCAAGUCGAGGGGAAACGACAUCGAAAGCUUGCUUUUGAUGGGCGUCGACCGGCGCACGGGUGAGUAACGCGUAUCCAACCUGCCCACCACUUGGGGAUAACCUUGCGAAAGUAAGACUAAUACCCAAUGACGUCUCUAGAAGACAUCUGAAGGAGAUUAAAGAUUUAUCGGUGAUGGAUGGGGAUGCGUCUGAUUAGCUUUUGGGGGGGGGCGGGUAACGGCCGACCAAGGCGACGAUCAGUAGGGGUUCUGAGAGGAAGGUCCCCCGACAUUGGAACUGAGACACGGUCCAAACUCCUACGGGAGGCA
rnacentral:rRNA from 1 species